rnacentral:rRNA from 1 species
AUUGAACGCUGGCGGCAUGCCUUACACAUGCAAGUCGAGCGGCAGCGCGGGGGCAACCCUGGCGGCGAGCGGCGAACGGGUGAGUAAUGCAUCGGAACGUGUCCUUUUGUGGGGGAUAACCAGUCGAAAGACUGGCUAAUACCGCAUGAGCUCGAGAGAGGAAAGCAGGGGACCCGAGGGUAACUUCGGGCCUUGCGCGAGAGGAGCGGCCGAUGCCCGAUUAGCAGGUUGGUGAGGUAACGGCUCACCAAGGCGACGAUCGGUAGCUGGUUUGAGAGAACGACCAGCCACACUGGGACUGAGACACGGCCCAGACUCCUACGGGAGGCAGCAGGUGGGGAAUCUUGCGCAAUGGGCGAAAGCCUGACGCAGCGACGCCGCGUGAGGGAUGACGGCCUGU